rnacentral:lncRNA from 1 species
GUUUUCCAGGCAUGAAAAACUUAAUCCCAAAAUUUUUUUUUUGAUUUUUUAAUAAUUCCAAAAUAAGCCAACUCUGUAAAAUUUAUAUUUUGGGUGGAGGAAAAUAAUUGAAUCCAUUUAGAUUUUGACUUAAAUAAUUUUCUAACCCAAGUAAGUUUUAACCCUUGUAUAAAAUGUCUCAAAUUAAUCAUUUUAGGCCACCUCGGAAGUAUUCCUGACAUAGAAGAUCCCGCUUUAUCUUGUCAGGCUUAUCAUCCCAAAUGAAUGAAUAAAUUUUACUAUUAAGUUGACGUAACAUAUUAUCAUCUGGACCUGGGAUGGACAAGAACAGAUGAUUAAAUUUUGAUAUAAUUAAUGACUUUAUAAUUGUUAUUUUAACAAACGGGGUAAGUGACUGUUUUGACCAUUUUUGUAAAAAAAAAUCACUUUCUUGUAUUCGAGGAGCAUAAUUUAGAUUUAAUAUUCUAUCUAAAUCAACACAGAAAGUGAUACCCAAUAAUUUGAAGGUACUGAAACCCCAUUUCAGUCCCCACUUGACACAUAUUUUGUCUUGACUAUGUUUUUUACUACCUACCCAUUUAACGUUUGUUUUGUCUAUGUCUAAGUUAAUAAGAUAUCUCAGCAUAUAAUUGUAAUAUACGGAGAGAUGCAUCCAGCGAGGAAGCGACCCAUCUAAAAUAAGUGAUGUGUCGUCUGCAUAUUGAGACAAGUUAUACUCUGAAUCGUGUAUCGUAAUACCCUUCAUCUCAACACUAACUCUUACUAAAAUGCCUAAUAUUUCAGCACAUAGCAAGAAAAGGUUAGGAGAUAAAGGAUUACUCUGUUUAAAGCCUCUCUCCACACGGAAAAAGUCUGACAGACAGUUCUUGGUGACAGUAGAUGUAAUAUCAUUAUAAAAUGUUUUUAUCCAGUUCAUAAUAGAGUCUUCAAAAUUAAAAUUCUUCAGUGUUUCAAAAUGAAAGGCCCAUGAUAUAGAGUCAAAAGCCUUCUCAAAAUCAAUGAGUAAUAAUAUACCAGGGAUAUCAUUUUCUUCUGUAAAUUGUAAAAUAUCAUAUAUAAUAUAAAAAGAAGAUAUGGUAUGAUUGCCAAUGAGACAACUGUCCACAAGUGACCAAAAUGACACAGACAUUAACAACUAUAGGUCAUCGUACGGCCUUCAACAAUGAACAAAGCUUAUACCGCAUAGUCAGCUAUAAAAGGCCCGAUAAGACAAUGUAAAACAAUUCAAACGAGAAAACUAACGGCCUUAUUUAUAUAUAUAUAUAUAAAAAAAAGACAAAAAACAAAUAUGUUACACAUAAACAAACGACAACCACUGAAUUACAGGCUCCUGACUUGGGACAGGCACAUACAUAAUUAAUGUGGCGGUGUUUAACAUGUUAGCGGGAUCCCAACCUUCCCCCUAACCUGGGACAGUGGUAUAACAGUACAACAUAAGAACGAACUAUAAAAAUCCGGUGAAAAAGGCUUAACUCAUCAGAUGGACAAAAAUACAAGUAGACGUGGCCGGGUACUUAUACAUCCCGACACAAAAAAAGAUCUGAGAGUACUCGCAGUUAUCUGUCAGCUAGUUUAAAACCACUAGCAACUAAAAAAAAAUCAUACAUCUAAGACCAAACUAUCUAUCCGUACACAUCCAACAUCCAAUGGAUUUAGUGUAAAGACGUCAUAAACAGCCAGAGAAAAACAUGACAUUGUGCAAUGCUAAGUUACAGGUAUCGACAGAUUGUAGAUCCAUAAAUAUAUAUCUGUAUAUAAUAUACUAGUAAUAUUUAGUUAGCUUUUAAUUUACUGAUAACAAAAUCAAUAUUUAUACCAA